rnacentral:tRNA from 2 species
UCCUGAGUAGCUCAGCCGGUUAGAGCAUCUGACUGUUAAUCAGAGGGUCGCUGGUUCGAGCCCAGCCUCAGGAGCGA